UCUCUUUUUUACUAGUAAAAAAAAUCAUUUGGUAAGAGAGAUAAAUACAUGUUUGUUUUUUCCAGUUAUGGCAACAUUUUGUGAUGACGUCAUAACAGCUGUAGGUACGUGCCAUUUUUCGCCAUUUUAUAUGUUCUGUUUCGUGGUACUUCUGCUGUCAAAUAACUGUUUACGUGAUCGUAUUUUGUGUUUUGCGGAUAAAUUACGAGGAUAUGGUUUGCUAAAUCGAACUUGAAGUUGAAAAAAGUGUUAUUCAACAUGUCCGUGUCUUGUAUAGUGCAGUGUGGUGCCAGAAAGGACAGAAAUCAACUCCUUUUGUCACUUCAUGGAUAUUAAAUCCAAAAGUGUCGACUGGAUUUACAUGAAAAGUCAGUUCAAGAAGACGAGAUGAAAAAUUUAAAAGAAAAGCUGAACAAGUCACGCCUCAAGAUCAAACAACUUAAUGAAAAAAAAAAUCAAUGUGACAGGGUGUCACAAAGACAGUUUCUAAACAAAUUGACACUGUUUAGAAAUUAAUAAAUUUGUAUUUAUUGUAAAUAUAAUGUACAUAAUUAAUAACGUGUGAAAUAAAUACUUGCUAAUGAACAGAUUUACCAUCUAAUUUAUAUUUCAUUUUACCUCCUGUUCUUAUUUACUCCCACUCCAACACUCCAGGUUGAUACGAACUGCGCACAAUAAAGAAUGUAAUGAAUUUUAUAGAUUUGUGUAAG